rnacentral:lncRNA from 1 species
CGGCUCCCUUGCCAGAGCCACGCCCCUUCCGUCGGCAGCUUCCGGAACCGCGCUCCUUUGCGCCGCCUCCUUGAGAUCUGAUUGGCUACUGCGGCGACCGCUAACGGGCGCGCAGUUUAAAUUCGUGCGGGGUCGACGCCGAGCUCUGGGAGCCGGUGGCCUCGCCGUGGAACACUAUGGAGUCUCCAGGGAUGGGUCCUGACUCGGUGACCUCAGGAAUUAAGAGACGCGUGAAAGACAAAAGAGUUUCAAAGACUACACUGAAUGUUUCUCUUGCUUCAAAAAUCAAAACAAAAAUAAUAAACAAUUCUUCUAUUUUCAAAAUUUCCCUAAAGCACAACAACAGAGCAUUGGCUCAGGCUCUCAGUAGGGAAAAAGAAAAUGCUCGAAGAAUUGCAACCGAAAAGAUGCUGUUGCAAAAAGAAGUGGAGAAACUGAAUUUUGAGAAUACCUUUCUUCGAAUAAAACUAGAUAACUUGAACAAGAAGCUUAUAGAAAUAGAAUCACUCCUGAGCAAUAACUUGAUAACCGCAAUUGAAAUGAGCAGUCUUUCUGAGUUCCACCAGACCUCCUUUCUGCCAUCCAAUAGUAAGAAGAAACGGCCCAGCAAACAGUGCACGUUGAUCCGUCUUCCAUUUGCAAGGGUUCCACUACCUUCGAAUGAUGAUGAGGAGGUUGAUAAAGAGAAAACGCCAUGGGACAGCAGUGUCACAUCAAGGGUGUCACCUGAUGCUCCGUCUUCAGUAUCAGAAAGUCAGUCUGCCCCGACUCAGUGUAACGUGGACACGUUGUUUCUUAAAGAAAAUAAUUGGAAUAUGUGUGGUCUAGAUGACUCAGAGCAUAUUUCUUCUAGUGUCGACGUACCUCCCAAAGAGAGUCAUUCCCACUCAGACCGAAGUUCCCAGCCUGCCGUGGUGGGUGAGACAACCAAUGCCCCUGGCACCAGCUGUGUAAAGGAGAAGCUGUCCCUGAGUAACGUGACAGCGAGGAAGAAGCGCGUGUCUGCUGCAGACACGCCGCCGGGGGCAGAUUCAGGGCAGCAGCAGAGUUGGAGUCCGGAAUUUGGCUGGCCUGUGGAGACAGAGGGUUGUGCUGAUGAAAAAAACAUCGCAGUGCCCAGAAAUGCGCAGGGCCUUCCUGGCCUGGAAAACCCUCCUGUGCCUUCCAGGGAGCCUGCCGAAGACAGGGCAGGCCGAGCCCAGGACAGCAGCGACCCCUGGGGGCAGGUGACUGUGUUCGGGGCCGACAUGGAGCUGACAGCCACCGACGUGAGCACAAUCGUCGCCGUUUCCCGAGGCGGCAGACGGGGAAGCAAUAGAAAGAUAAACGACUGCAAACCGAAGGCUUUCAGGAAGGUGAGGGAUGGGAGCUCUGAAACAAAGAGAGACAGGCCAAAGAGAAAACGUAAGAUUAGUGCAGGAGUGGAUGCUGAGGAGAAGGCAGAAAACGGACCGGAAGGAAGCUCUGCGCUCGCGGGCAACAGCAGAGAUUCGAGAGACCCGGAUUUUACUCUCAGUACUGCGCAGCUGCCUCUGGCGAAUCCACUGAGGAAAAUGAGCCUUCAGCAUGGCUCUGGCCAAGAGGACAGACACAGUGCCCAGUGCAGCGGAGAGGACAAAGAAGCAGGUGCUGCCUGCCCACAGGAGGAAGCCAGAGGGGGAGGCGUGCACAUGCACCCGAACUCGCUAGCGUGUAGUAGUAAAAGCAAAGUUUCCAGGCAGACCUUUGUGAUUCCUAAGUUAGAAGAAGAUCACUUAGUCCCAAACCAAGCAGAUAAAGAAACCAUUAAUGAAAACCUAGAAGUUGCACCAGAAUUUCGGACAGCUGAUCUUUCCUCCAGAGAAAAUGGAAAUUUAUGUGACUGUGAGACCCAGAAUAUGUUGGCGUUAAAAAAGUAUGUCACCAAUAGGCAGCCCGCUCAGCAGGAUCGGUCAGAGGUCAGUAAGUUUAAGCAGAAAGUAAACAGAAAGACAGAAGUAAUUUCUCAAGUGAACCAGAGGUAUGGGGAUAAUGGUAAAGAUGUGCAUGCCCCCCAGCAAAGGAACAUUUUCUUCCAAACCCUAGUGGAUAAAGAGACUGUCUCUGGAAAUCUUGGCAUUUCAGAAGACUUCCAAAUACCUAUUCUUUUCAUGAGAGAUCAUGGAAACCUGUGUGAUUGUGAGAACCAGAACAUGUUGGAUUUGCAAAAGCCAGUCACAGUUGUGUACCCUGUUCAGCAAAACGAGUCCAAAAUUAAUAAGAACCUUAGGCAGAAAGUAAAUCGGAAGACAGAGAUAAUUUCUGAAGUGAAUCAUUUUGACAAUGACAAAUGUUGGAGUUGCUCAGAAAAGGGUAACUUGCUCUGCCUCCAAAAGGAGAGAGAAACCCUCCCUGGAGACCUGAAAGACUCGAGUGAGUUUCAAACCCCUGCUCUGCCCACCCAGGACAGUGGAAAGCCAUGCGAUUAUGUGACUCAGAAUGCCUCACGGGUGAGGGAGCAGGUCCGUGGUGUGCCAGCUGCUUGUCAGAGGGAUUCCAAAACGGGGGUGGCUAGAGAAAGAGGUUAUCAAAAUACAGAAAUAAUCUCUGAGCCUCCCCACCCCUGCAUGAGCAGAGGCAGAGGCCUGUACACCCUAGAAAAAGAUGACUUUGUUUCUUUAACCCAGAAGGAUGAAGAAACCCCUUCUGCAAACCCAGAAGUCACACACGAAUUUCAAACAGUUGAUCUUCCCACCAAAGAUCACAGAAAUUUAUGUGACUAUGAGACCCAGAACAGCUGUGUCACCAGUAUGCAGUUUCCUCAGCAAAACGAGUCAAAAACAAAUAAGACGCUUAGGCAGAAAGUAAAUCGGAAGACAGAAAUAAUUUCUAAAACGAUCCAGACACGUGAGGAUAUUGAUAAUGAUGUACAUGGCCGAAAAAGGUACUCAGAAGAUCUUGAUUUUAAAAUCAAUAAAUCUAAACCAAGACCCAAUCACCAAGGCCUCAUCAGGGAAUGCUAUAUGGAGAUCAAUAGUACUGAGAAGGAAAAUUAUGACCGAAUUUCUGAUCCCACUGAACUAGUUAAAAAGCGUAGGAAAAAAUCAUCAGGCAAGACAAGGAGCAUUCUGACAAGUGAUCAGAGAAAGCUGGCCUUACUGUCGUCGGCAGAUUCUCAGACACCUGCCUCCCCAGAGUAUGGCUUAACGCGAAUCGGCAGUGGGCCAGACUCUGCCACUAGAAGGCCGCGCUCCACAACUCCAGACGCAAAAGGCAAUGAUCCCUGGGUGGAAGCGAGGGAAGCCGGGCAGUGCCAGGCCACAGAGGUGACCAUGAGGACAUCCAGAGCAAAGCAGAGGAAGGCCUCCACAGCUCUUCGGCUGGGCUCCCCGGAAGCUGUGGCAGUCCUGCCCCAAGCCAGGCACAGGAGGCCUGCUGGCUCUGAGCACACCGACCAGGAAAACCAUAGGGAGAGCAAGAGGACUGACAGUGCUGAGCCAGACUUUCACACAGAGCUCUUUCGUCCUUUUUCUCAGAGAUAUUCACCUGAUACACAGGGUGCUUCCUCUGAUGGUAUCCCUGAGGGUUCUAUGCCCAUGAGUGUUUCUUCUGGUAAAAUCCUGAUCACCGAAGACCAUUCUGCCCCUGAGCGCUCACCCCUCCUUCAGGUCCUCAGUGAUGGGCUCAAGAAGACGAAGGAGGUGCGAGCCAGUGUCGGUGGCAGAGCACAGAAGCCAGAGACAGGUAACAGAACACUACAGGAUCUGACAAACACCAGUUUCUUUUCAAGUAAAGCUGCGAAGUCUGAGAGUGAGUUGGGAGAUGGAGCCUCCAAGCCACCAAGCAGAAAGCGGAGGUGCACACCGCUCAGUCUGAGAGAGCCCAGCCUCAAAAGAAAGAUGAGAAGAUGAAGUGAAGAUGGACUCUAGUUUUUCUGAAUUCUCAAGGAACCAGAAGUCAGAACAAAAAUAUACCUAGGAUCACAAAGAUGGAACACUUGAGGAAAAGUUUUUUUCCCCCUUUUUGGGCCUUUGCUUAGAGUGCUGAUUUGUUCAUUCUUGUGUUUAAACAUAUGUGCAUAAAGUAGCUAGUUCUGUAAUAUUAAAUUUCUAAAAUACUUUUGGUCAUAUAACUUAUUUUCCUUCUCAUAUAAGUUUCUUUCUACCUAACAUCCUUUAAGCAAACAACAGCUAUCAGCCUUUUAACUGCAUAAAUGUAUGAAUAAAUACUUUUGCAUUGGUUAUCAUGUACGGGAAGCUAUCUUGUUUUGCUUUUGAUCUGGUUGCUGUAUGUGAACAUGUAAAAGCUUUAAAGGUCCUCUCCUGUGCUGGCCUGAUUUCUGUCAGCCUCAUUCUUCUCCAUUUGCCAUCAGUUUCUCUCUCUGUUACACAGAACCUGGGGCCUGGGGAGGGAUGUUGGGAGGAGGGGCUUCACUGUUGGCCUUUCAGCCUCUUUGGAAUUUGGUGCUUAUGACUACUCCAGCCACAAGUGAUGAAUCCUCUGCCUACCUGAGGUCACCGCGAGAUUUGCUGUUUUCAUACAACUGGUCAGAUGUGUUCUGCCUCCAUGUGGACGCUUCCUUAGAACAGCUCUGACCGGUGCCUCAGGCAGUUCUGUGGCAGCUUGUCCUGGGGCCACACUUGGAGAGACUCCUGCAGGGGAACAGGACUUGGCACUGUAAAGAUGGCCUUCCUAGCAGCCAACCGUGUCAGUUCACAGAGGCUGCAGACUCCUGUAGCACAGCAGUCUCCUCUCCUCUCCGCUGUGGUCCAGAGCUCAGUGUCCACGG